GAUGAACGCUGGCGGCGUGCCUAAUACAUGCAAGUCGAGCGAACAGACGAGGAGCUUGCUCCUCUGACGUUAGCGGCGGACGGGUGAGUAACACGUGGAUAACCUACCUAUAAGACUGGGAUAACUUCGGGAAACCGGAGCUAAUACCGGAUAAUAUAUUGAACCGCAUGGUUCAAUAGUGAAAGACGGUUUUGCUGUCACUUAUAGAUGGAUCCGCGCCGCAUUAGCUAGUUGGUAAGGUAACGGCUUACCAAGGCAACGAUUCGUAGCCGACCUGAGAGGGUGAUCAGCCACACUGGAACUGAGACACGGUCCAGACUCCUACGGGAGGCAGCAGUAGGGAAUCUUCCGCAAUGGGCGAAAGCCUGACGGAGCAACGCCGCGUGAGUGAUGAAGGUCUUCGGAUCGUAAAACUCUGUUAUUAGGGAAGAACAAAUGUGUAAGUAACUAUGCACGUCUUGACGGUACCUAAUCAGAAAGCCACGGCUAACUACGUG
rnacentral:rRNA from 1 species